AUUGAACGCUGGCGGAAUGCUUUACACAUGCAAGUCGAACGGUAGAGGGGGCAACCCCUUGAGAGUGGCGAACGGGUGAGUAAUAUAUCGGAACGUGCCCAGUCGUGGGGGAUAACGUAGUGAAAAUUACGCUAAUACCGCAUACGAUCUAAGGAUGAAAGCGGGGGAUCGCAAGACCUCGCGCGACUGGAGCGGCCGAUAUCAGAUUAGGUAGUUGGUAGGGUAAAGGCCUACCAAGCCAACGAUCUGUAGCUGGUCUGAGAGGACGACCAGCCACACUGGAACUGAGACACGGUCCAGACUCCUACGGGAGGCAGCAGUGGGGAAUUUUGGACAAUGGGCGAAAGCCUGAUCCAGCCAUUCCGCGUGCAGGAUGAAGGCCCUCGGGUUGUAAACUGCUUUUGUACAGAACGAAAAGGUCUCUAUUAAUACUGGGGGCUCAUGACGGUACUGUAAGAAUAAGCACCGGCUAACUACGUGCCAGCAGCCGCGGUAAUACGUAGGGUGCAAGCGUUAAUCGGAAUUACUGGGCGUAAAGCGUGCGCAGGCGGUUAUAUAAGUCAGAUGUGAAAUCCCCGGGCUCAACCUGGGAACUGCAUUUGAGACUGUAUAGCUAGAGUACGGUAGAGGGGGAUGGAAUUCCGCGUGUAGCAGUGAAAUGCGUAGAUAUGCGGAGGAACACCGAUGGCGAAGGCA
rnacentral:rRNA from 1 species